UUUGAGGGGAAUGUUGUCUGGCUCGGGGGCGCCGCUCUUUCUCUGACCUGCUCCUUUCUCCUCCGAUCCAUCUCGCUCUUCCUCUCUCCUGGAGGUAGAGAGGAGAUCGAUCGAUGGGCAGGAGUGAGAGGAGAUGGGUGUAGAUCUCGGACCAGGCUUCAUUCCCCCCAAA
rnacentral:pre_miRNA from 2 species